AAGUCGUAACAAGGUUUCCGUAGGUGAACCUGCGGAAGGAUCAUUAACACUUUUUUCGGUGCUUUUGAAAAUUGGAAUCAAAUUCAAUUUUCGAGCCCAAUCCAAACUUACCCAAACUUUUUUUAAAGUGCUGGUGUUUUGCGAUCAAAAGCAAAACCCCUUUUUUUCUAUUUAUCAAAAACCCCAAAUCUUUCUUUGCAAAUGCAAUUGAACACUUAAAAAAACUACUAAUGUAACCAAACAACUCUUAGCAACGGAUAUCUUGGCUCUC
rnacentral:misc_RNA from 1 species